UGGGGCGUAGCCAAGUGGUAAGGCAUCGGGUUUUGAUCCCGUGAUACGCAGGUUCGAUCCCUGCCGCCCCAGCCA
rnacentral:tRNA from 4 species